rnacentral:misc_RNA from 1 species
AUAUGUAGUGAAUACAAUAAUUUCAACAGGCAUUGACAGGAACCUAAUUGCCCCAUUUCUGGAAACUUUAGAUCAUUACAUACUUCCAACAAAUUGAUUUCACCUUUUCAAAAAGUAGCUUUUUUUUUCCUCCUCCUCUUCUUCUUCUUUUUGCUUCUGUACUCAUAGAAAUGACUUAAUACACUAAAAUUAAUUGCAGAAAAAAUGCAAGUUUUUAUAGUUUUCUGGCUCAGCCUAUACCAUGUGUUGAUGUUACUUUCUGCUUGCCUAAUUA